UGAAGUGGGUAUUUGUAUGUAAAUACAGAAUUUACCAAAGCAGCAGCGCAGAAGCUCGGGGCUCUAAUAAUGCUCUAAAUAGCCCUCCUUGAUUCCCUGAAUCCCCUAAGAGAGAGCUGCAGCUAUGCUCAGUGGGGUGGAACUUUUUUUGUCUUACUCAGCAGGUUACAAAGUCUUGGGAAGAAGUAGGUAGAGGAGUUUUAGGAUUAUGGGACCUGGUCGUCUUGUGUAUUAAAAAAAAAAGACAUUUAUUGAACACGUGCUAUAAAUUAAUGACUAUAUUCUGACUGCAAUGUCAGGAGCGAUAAUCAUCUCCAUUUUAUAGAUGAGCAAACUGAUUUAGAGAUUAACUAACAAUCAUAGCAAUUGCUAUGGAUGGUUGAACACUUUUUAGGUGCCACACACGGAACUUUACCAUGCAUGCUUUCUAAUCCGCCUAGCAACUCUAUGAGGUAGGUACCAUUUUCUUGUCUAUUUUUGAGAUGGGAAACUGAGGCUUGGAGAGGUUAAAUGACUUAGUCAAGGUACUUUGAUGGCAGAGUUGAUACAGGAAUCCAAAUGAGGUAGAAUUUUGGCAUAUGUUUUGGAGCAGCUGUUCAAAUGUGCUAAAACAGCUCACUCAACUCAAAUAUGCAUUGUUUUAAAUUCCUGCUGCUCUGUGGUUUAGUAUAAGCUUCCAUAAAGAAUAUUUACAGAGGAGAAGACGUGUGAGUGAACCCUGUGGGGCUUAACGAGAUGAAAGGAAGGUAGAUAGAUGGAUGAUAGGGCAGAACAAGGUGCUGUGGCCAGUGCCCCUUCCUGGUUUUAGGGUGAAGGAGGGCUAACGUUCAAAGGGUCACAGGGGUCACUGCCGAGUCUUUCUUUUCCUUUGGAGGUGUCUUUCCUUUCUACCCUGCACCUUCAGGAUCCUGCAGCAGAGUCACCCCUUUGUAGCUCAUAGGGGGACCGAACAGGAGGCCCGAAUUCCACUGCCACUGCCUUCUGCUACUUGUUCCAUGUCUCGGGGGCAAAGAGAAGCCACCCAUGGGAUGAGAUACGCUGUGGAUGUGGAGUCAGAAAUCCUGGGUUUGACUUCUGCCUGUUCUGGUCCUUUCCUUGUGUGAUCUUGAAUAAGUCCUUUACUAUAUUUAAGCAUCAGUUUCCUUAUCCAUAGAAUGUAGAUACCUCUUGUCCUAACUUAUGCAUUACUAUGUGAAAUCAUGUUGAAGAAAGCGUAAGCUCCUACACAAGUAAGAACCCAUUUCUGGACUGCAGCAGGGGCUUGCUGCAGGGUAAAGCACAUGGGCUCCGCCAUCAAAUCCAGGCUGCCGUUUAUAAGCUGUGUGGCCUCGGACAAGUUACUUAUCCUGCCUGUCUUUGUUUCUGCAUCUGUUAAAUGGGGGUAACGAUAGUUGCUACUGAUAAAGUUACUGUAAGGAAUAAAUAAUUCUUCUGCAGUGCUUACUUUGGUAUCUGGCACAUUGUAAAUGUUCAAUAUGAUUUUUAUUGAUUCACAGAGAACUGGUUGAUGUAGGCUCUAUGAUGGGGGACGAAUGUGAGCUUCUAGAGGCUCCUUUGUGCUUUGUGCUUGAACCUGUAAGGACCACACUCUCACACCUAGAGGAGCAUCACAGGACUCUCAGGACCAGCGCUGUGCUCCUCAUUGAAGUUUAAUUCUUCAUAAGGAGAAGUCUGCAAGGAGCAAGGGCUGAAGGCAGUGGUGAGAAGGUCCUGCAUUUUAAGAGGGACAUUAACAGGUUGGAGCAGGUCCAGGAAGGAACAACUGGGCUGGUUCCUUCUGCAGCCCACUGACUUCUCCCAGGUGAUCAGGGAAGGGAUGGGACUUUUGAAGAGGUUGAUGGCUCCCUGAUGCAUGUGAGGAAAGAAUAUUCCCUAACAAAUACUAAGGGAAGAGGCUUCCUUAAGGAGAUGGCGAGUUUCUUGUCGCUGGAACUGUUCACGCGUACAGGCUGAGCUCUCCGUAGCAGGCGAUGCGGUGAACCGGCUUAGGAGUGGGUUAGAACUGUGACCUGACUCCUUAUUUGUAUGACCUUGAAAGUUGCUUACCCUCUCUGAGGUUCAGUUUCUUCAUCUGCAAACUAGCAAUACUUCACUCUA